rnacentral:rRNA from 1 species
AGUGAACGCUGGCGGUAGGCCUAACACAUGCAAGUCGAACGGCAGCACAGUAAGAGCUUGCUCUUACGGGUGGCGAGUGGCGGACGGGUGAGGAAUACAUCGGAAUCUACUUUUUCGUGGGGGAUAACGUGGGGAAACUUACGCUAUUACCGCAUACGACCUACGGGUGAAAGAAGGGGAUCUUCGGACUUUGCGCGAUGGAAUGAGCCGAUGUCGGAUUAGCUAGUUGGCGGGGUAAAGGCCCACCAAGGCGACGAUCCGUAGCUGGUCUGAGAGGAUGAUCAGCCACACUGGAACUGAGACACGGUCCAGACUCCUACGGGAGGCAGCAGUGGGGAAUAUUGGACAAUGGGCGCAAGCCUGAUCCAGCCAUACCGCGUGGGUGAAGAAGGCCUUCGGGUUGUAAAGCCCUUUUGUUGGGAAAGAAAAGCAGCAGGUUAAUACCCCGCUGUUCUGACGGUACCCAAAGAAUAAGCACCGGCUAACUUCGUG